GUUGAACGGAAGUACAACGCCAUGGCGCUGCUGAAAGAAAAAGAGGUUGUUUAUUUGGUGGGAGUCAGUAAGCAUCCACCGCAUUCGGAACUUCCGUACAGAUGCAUGAGACUUGUUCUCAAAUACGCAACUCCCUAUGAAAGCCAUCGUCGAAUGGUAUACGAAUAUCGUACAGAUUAUGAAGAGGAAACCAACAAAAUCAAUGAAAACUUGCACGACCACUGUAUAUGGAAGCCCAAAAAACUUUCAC
rnacentral:lncRNA from 1 species